rnacentral:rRNA from 1 species
UACGUAGGGUGCAAGCGUUAAUCGGAAUUACUGGGCGUAAAGCGUGCGCAGGCGGUUUUGUAAGUCAGAUGUGAAAGCCCCGGGCUUAACCUGGGAAUGGCCAUGGAAACUGGCGAACUGGAGUGUGGCAGAGGGGGGUGGAAUUCCGCGUGUAGCAGUGAAAUGCGUAGAGAUGCGGAGGAACACCGAUGGCGAAGGCAGCCCCCUGGGCUAGCACUGACGCUCAGGCACGAAAGCGUGGGGAGCAAACAGG